GGUAACUCGUGGCGAGAUGGCGGGUUAAGACGGUAGUGGCAAGUGGUUACCGGAAUCAUUUGGCGUAAAGCGUCUGUAGGUGGUCAAAUAAGUCAACUGUUAAAUCUUGAGGCUCAACCUCAAAAUCGCAGUCGAAACUAUUCGACUAGAGUAUAGUAGGGGUAAAGGGAAUUUCCAGUGGAGCGGUGAAAUGCGUAGAGAUUGGAAAGAACACCGAUGGCGAAGGCACUUUACUGGGCUAUUACUAACACUGAGAGACGAAAGCUAGGGUAGCAAAUGGGAUUAGAUACCCCUGUAGUC
rnacentral:rRNA from 1 species